UCCGGCGCAGAGAUCACAUAUCGGUUCCGUUCAAUACUUUGUAACACUACACUCAAUAUUGAGUGCAGUGUUACAAAGUAUUGAACGGAACGGAUAUGUGAUCUCUGUAAAA
rnacentral:sRNA from 1 species